rnacentral:tRNA from 1 species
GGGGCAGUAGCUCAGUUGGUAGAGCAAUUAAAUUUUAUAAUUAUCAAUUAUGGUCAAAUAAAAUUUACUACUUAUGUGUCGAGGGUUCGAUUCCUUCCUGCUCCA